rnacentral:misc_RNA from 1 species
UUUCCGUAGGUGAACCUGCGGAAGGAUCAUUAGAGAUGUGCGCAAGCACUUUUCCCUUCUUACACCUGUGCACCGUUUGGUCUUCGGACCUAUACAAUACCUGUAGUCACGAACGUAAUCUAUUAUAACAUAAUAAAACUUUUAACAACGGAUCUCUUGGCUCUC